CCCAGAGCCUUGCACUAGCUAGGUAAGCACUCCACUGCUGAGUCACAACCCCAGCUGACAUUAUUUUUUUCUUGGUUGCCAUUCUUUUUUUCUCUUUUUCUUUUGUAGAUUAUUUUUUAAAAAAUAAAUGACAAUGGAAUGCAUUAGAACUCUUAUUACACAUGUACAGAACAAUUUUUCAUAUCUCUGGCUGUAUAUAAAGUAUGUUGACAUGUCAAAGUACAUGUCUUCAUACAUGUACUUUGAAUAAUGAUGUCUAUCACAUUCCUCCAUCCUUGAUAAACCCCUGCUCCCUCCCUUUCCCUCCCACCCCUCUACCCUAUCUAGAAUUCAUCUAUUCCUCCCAUGCUCCCCCUCCCUACUUCACUGUGAGUCAAUCUCCUUAUAUCGGAGAAAACAUUGGGCAUUUUUUUUGUGUGUGGGGGGGGGCUUGUUAACUUCAAUUAACAUUAUCUUCUCCAAAGCCAUCCAUUUACCUGCAAAUGCCAUGAUUUUAUUCUCUAUGGUUGCUGAGUAAAAUUCUAUUGUGUAUAUAUGCCACAUUUUAUCUUAAUCCAUUCAUUCAAUUAAUGGCAUCGAGCUUGGCUCCACAGUUAAGAUUUUGUGAAUUUUGCUGCUAUAAACAUUGAUGUGGAUGUGUCCCUAUAGUAUGCUCUUUUUAAGUCUUUUUGGGUAUAAAGUGAGGAGAGGAUGGCUGGGUCAAAUGGUGGUUCCAUUUCCAUAUUUCCAAGGAAUCUCCAUAUUGCUUUCCAUAUUGGCUGAACCAAUUUGCAGAUCUACCAGCAAUGUAUGAGUGUGCCUUUUCCCCCACCUUUUCGCCAACACUUAUUGUUGUUUAUCUUCAUAAUACCUGCCAUCCUGACUGGAGUGAUACGACAUCUUAGAGUAGUGUAAGCUUUCAAAAUAAUUUCUAAUUAUCCUUUGUAUUUCUUUAGUGUCUUUUUUGGUACUGCCUUUUGCAUUUAUCUAAUUGCUAGAGAUAAUGAACAUUUUUUUAUAUAUUUGUUGAUUGAUUGUAUAUUCUCUUCUGGGAAGAGUCUAUUCAGGUCCUUGUCCCAUUUAUUUAUUUAUUUAUUUACUUGUUUGUUUAUUUUUGGUGCUUAGUUUUUUGAAUUCUUUAUAUAUCUUAGAGAUUAGUGCUCUCUCUGAUGAGUGAGGGGUAAAAAUUUGCUCCCAGGAUGAAGGCUCUCUGUUUAUCUCGCAGAUUGUUUCUUUUGUGAGAAGAAACUUUUUAAUUUGAUUCCAUCCCAUUUAUCAAUUCUUGGUUUUAAUUCUUGCACUUUCAGAGUCUUAUUAAGGAAAUUGGGGCCUAAUCCCUCAUGAUGAAGAUUACUACUUUUCCUACUAUUAGAUGCAGAGUCUCUUGUUUAAUUCCUAGGUCCUAAUCCACUUUGAGUUGAGUUUUGUGCAAGGUUUUAUUUCAUUUUGUUACAUAUGGAUUUCCACUUUUUCCAGCAUCAUUUUUUGAAGAUGCUAUCUUUUCUCCAAUGCAUGUUUUUGGCACCUUUGUCUAAUAUAAUUGUAAUUUUGUGGGUUAGUCUCUCUGUCCUCUAUUUUGUACCAUUGUUCUACCAAUCUGUUUUGGUGCCAGUACAAUGCUGUUUUUGUUACUAUUGCUCUUUAGUAUAGUUUAAGGUCUUGUAUUGUGAUUCCACCUGCUUUACUCUUCCUGCUAAGGAUUGCUUUAGCUAUUUUGGGUCUCUUAUUUUUCCAGAAAAUUUUCUUGAUUGCUUUUUCUAUUUCUAUGAGGAAUGUCAUUGGUAUUUUGAUCAGAAUUGCAUUAAAUCUUUGUAGUGCUUUUGGUAGUAUGGUCAUUUUGAUGAUAUUAAUUCUGCCUAUCUAAGAGCAAAGUAGUUCUUUCCAUAUUCUUAGGUCUUCUUUGAUUUUUUUGCUUAUGGUUCUGUUGUUUUCAUUGUAUAGAUCUUUCACUUCUUUCAUUAAGUUCCUUCCCAAGUAUUUCAUUUAUUUAUUUUUUUUAGGAUAUUGUAAAUGGGGUAGUUUUCCUCAUUUUCCUUUCUGGGCAUUUGUCACUGAUAUACAGAAAUACCUUUGAUUUAUGGGUGUUGAUUUUACAUCCUGCUACUUUGCUGAAAUCAUUUACUAGUCGUAGAAGUUUUGUGGUGGAGCUUUUUGGGUCUUCUAAGUAUAGAAUCAUGUUAUCAGCAAAUCCUGCUAAUUUAAGUUUUUUCUUUUCCUGUGCAUAUCUCUUUAAUUUCUUUCAUCUGUCUAAUUGCUCUG
rnacentral:lncRNA from 1 species